CAUUUUUUACUCUGGAUGUGAAAUUCCAAAGUGGUUUGACUUAAAAAGUAAUGGAUCUUUUAUAAAGUUCCCAGAAGGUUGGAUUAAUGAUAACUUAUUUGGUUUCGCUUUAUGUGCUGUUAUAUCAUCACAAGACUCUCAAAAACUUAGAAAUUUGCUUGUUGGAUUUCGCCUGAUUAUUAAUGGAGAGAUUAUUUCCAAUGGUGAGUUAACGGACUCAUUAAACUUUAGGCCUGGGACUCUUGAAGGUGAGAACAUUAUUGAAUCAGAUCAUAUAUUCAUAGCUUAUAGUUACAUUAAGAUGCCUGGGAAAUUUCCUCCACUCAAUUUGAAUAGCCAGGGUGCUGUUGAGUUCUUCAUUGAACAUGCAACUAAGAAUGGUAUGGUUCAAAGCCCAGUGAAAAAAUGUGGAGUGACUUUAUUGUAUCACAAAAAUGAUGAUUCGAGAAAAGAUCCAAGAGUGGACAAAAAUGAUGAAAGACCUCAUAAGCGAUUGAAACUUGAAGGUUGAAAUGUUGUUACAGAAAAGGUGCUGCUUCCAGAGGAAAUUUACUCCAUUUCUAAGGCCUCUUGUUUGCCUAAUCUUCACGAUAUGCCUAAACUUGGAAGUUUUUCCUAUGGUGUUCUUUAUAGAUGACGUGGCUUACUGCAUGGUAGUUUAAUAGUUUCAAGGUAAAGCUUACUUCAUGUUGCCUUCUGAACUAUUUGGCUGACUCUCUGCAAUUUACAUUCGUGGUCUAUGCUCUGUAGUUCUCUAUUACAGAAUGUUGAAGUGCCUCUUUUUUUAAAUGUUAUUCAGUGUGUUUUCAGAUUGGCAACUAGGCGUGUGGACACAAAUUCCCUUGACUGUCAUUUUAAUAUUCUCUAGAUUUCUUGCCUGGAAUUGGAUUAUGUUACUAACUACUAUUUAAUUAGGUGUUAUAUGGUUACAGAUUUGGUUCUCUAGGCUAUGAAAGGGUAUUGGAUGCUCUUCGAUACUGCUGGUUUGUUGAGUCCUCGGUUAACAGCAGGAAACAAAUUGAUGCCGUACAUUUCAUUCAUGCCUUCCAUGUUACUGAAAGCUUUCCCCCUGUUCACUUCUUGAAGACAUACUUAAAGAAUUGAAGGAGUAACUCACAGGGAAAGGGUGUGAGUUCGGGUGGAGAUACUAGUGCACCGGUUAAUUUUCAUACUAAAGCAUAAUGAGAACUUGCUGCCUUUAAAGCUGUAGUUAGUUGUGUCCAAGAGUACAGGCUUGAACCUGACUAUCCUCUCGAUCCACUUCAGAAAAGGAUUGAACAACUGGAGAGGUCGAAAUCUGAUAAGAAAAGGGGUGGAGAUUUUGGUAGACGUCAACACUCCAAGAAACAAAGAGCAAAGUGAGGAUACGGUGGAUUUCUUUCUCACAGUGCCAAGGCAGCUCCCGGUAGGCUUGUUCCGCCUGUUUUCUGAUGUGUCGUGCACUUGUGAGCAAGACACAACAUUUUCUUUGACAGGGCAGCAUAUGGAGGAAUGCCUGAGAGAUAUCCUCUGGCUGGUCCAAACUCUUUACGAUUAUCAAGUUCAUAGCCAGCCUGUUUUUGCUCAGCAACCAAAUGAUCAAAGAAUAUGCUUUUAUCCCCACGAUGUAGUUAUCAAAUGCAAGAUUUGUGUGCAACCUUAGUGAAUGUGCAGAGAAUUUAUUUGUGAGUGAAUCACAUUUUCCCACCCAAGUUUGGCUGUAAAACCCUUCUUCAUCUCUAAUUGACAUCGAUAACAUUUCUUCA